rnacentral:rRNA from 1 species
UACGUAGGGUGCGAGCGUUAAUCGGAAUUACUGGGCGUAAAGCGUGCGCAGGCGGUUCGCUGUGUCCGAUGUGAAAGCCCCGGGCUUAACCUGGGAAUGGCAUUGGAAACUGGCGGGCUUGAGUGCGGCAGAGGGGGGUGGAAUUCCGCGUGUAGCAGUGAAAUGCGUAGAGAUGCGGAGGAACACCGAUGGCGAAGGCAGCCCCCUGGGCUGAGAUUGACGCUCAGGCACGAAAGCGUGGGGAGCAAACAGG